rnacentral:rRNA from 1 species
GCGGCAGGCCUAACACAUGCAAGUCGAGCGGUAACACAGAGGAGCUUGCUCCUUGGGUGACGAGCGGCGGACGGGUGAGUAAUGCCUGGGGAUCUGCCCGAUAGAGGGGGAUAACUACGGGAAACUGUAGCUAAUACCGCAUAAUGUCUACGGACCAAAGUGGGGGCUCUUCGGACCUCAUGCUAUCGGAUGAACCCAGGUGGGAUUAGCUAGUUGGUGAGGUAAUGGCUCACCAAGGCGACGAUCUCUAACUGGUUUGAGAGAAUGACCAGUCACACUGGAACUGAGACACGGUCCAGACUCCUACGGGAGGCAGCAGUGGGGAAUAUUGCACAAUGGGCGCAAGCCUGAUGCAGCCAUGCCGCGUGUGUGAAGAAGGCCUUCGGGUUGUAAAGCACUUUCAGCGGGGAGGAAGGGCCACUAGUUAAUACCUAGUGGCAUUGACGUUACUCGCAGAAGAAGCACCGGCUAACUCCGUGCCAGCNNCNNCGGUAAUAAAAA